AACGAACGCUGGCGGCAUGCCUAACACAUGCAAGUCGAACGAGACCUUCGGGUCUAGUGGCGCACGGGUGCGUAACGCGUGGGCAUCUGCCCUUGGGUUCGGAAUAACAGCGAGAAAUUGCUGCUAAUACCGGAUGAUGACGUAAGUCCAAAGAUUUAUCGCCCAAGGAUGAGCCCGCGUAGGAUUAGCUAGUUGGUGAGGUAAAGGCUCACCAAGGCGACGAUCCUUAGCUGGUCUGAGAGGAUGAUCAGCCACACUGGGACUGAGACACGGCCCAGACUCCUACGGGAGGCAGCAGUGGGGAAUAUUGGACAAUGGGCGAAAGCCUGAUCCAGCAAUGCCGCGUGAGUGAUGAAGGCCUUAGGGUUGUAAAGCUCUUUUACCCGGGAUGAUAAUGACAGUACCGGGAGAAUAAGCUCCGGCUAACUCCGUGCCAGCAGCCGCGGUAAU
rnacentral:rRNA from 1 species